AGUCGUGUGGUCUAAUGGUUAUGAUUUCUCGUUCACAAAGUUGAACAACCUGUUACCGAGAAGGUUCCCGGUUCGAUCCCGGGCACGACUA